rnacentral:rRNA from 1 species
UACGUAGGUGGCGAGCGUUGUCCUGAUUUACUGGGCGUAAAGGGAGCGUAGGCGGACUUUUAAGUGAGAUGUGAAAUACCCGGGCUCAACUUGGGUGCUGCAUUUCAAACUGGAAGUCUAGAGUGCAGGAGAGGAGAAUGGAAUUCCUAGUGUAGCGGUGAAAUGCGUAGAGAUUAGGAAGAACACCAGUGGCGAAGGCGAUUCUCUGGACUGUAACCGACGCUGAGGCUCGAAAGCGUGGGGAGCAAACAGGAUUAGAUACCCG